UCAGGGAGUCCAAACCCCUCAUCCUAUAAGGAGGAGCUGCAGGCCGAUGGACAAGGGAUGUCCUACUUCUUGCAGCUGGUGCAUCUGGAAUGUUCUCUCUCAGCCCCCAGUUCCCAUUCUCACUCCCUGGAGCUGGAGGACGGGGCAAGAGGAUUAUGACUAAUACAACUGCGCCAAGGUUUUCACUGAAAUGAAAGCUCAGCUUCCGAGGUCUAGAGAUGGCUUUAGCUACGUGGAGCCAGGGUACUCACGAAUAGAGGAGGGUCAUCCUGGCUGGAGCAGGUGAGUUGGUGUUUCUUAUGCAGGUAAGAAGUUGUUUAAUGCAAUUCUGUAAGUUGGAAAGUUUUUCGAUGAAUGUGGUUUAGAGAUAGGGAGAAAGGCCUGUUUGAAAGAAUGAGGUUUUGAGAAUCAAAAGCAAUAGGACUGAAUCAACCUCCUACAAAGCAUAACCUACAAGGACAUGGAAGGGUUGGG